rnacentral:rRNA from 1 species
AACAAACGCUGGCGGCGUGCCUAAUACAUGCAAGUCGAACGGGGAAAGCUUUCGGGUGAGUACUAGUGGCGCACGGGUGAGUAACGCGUGGAUAAUCUGCCUUAGAGUGGGGGAUAACUAGUCGAAAGAUUAGCUAAUACCGCAUAAGACCACAAGAACUGCGGUUCAAGGGGUCAAAGGUUUUUCGCUCUAAGAUGAGUCCGCGUAAGAUUAGCUAGUUGGUAGGGUAACGGCCUACCAAGGCUACGAACUUUAACUGGUCUGAGAGGAUGGUCAGUCACACUGGAACUGAGACACGGUCCAGACUCCUACGGGAGGCAGCAGUAGGGAAUAUUGCAAAAUGGAGGAAACUCUGAUGCAGCGACGCCGGGUGAGUGAUGAAGGCCUUCGGGUCGUAAAGCUCUGUCGCAGGGGAAUAACACAAUGAAGGUACCCUGUAAGAAAGGAUCGGCUAACUUCGUGCCAGCCGCCGCCGUAAUAC